GCCAUGUUCCACACAGUCUGGAGUGUAUGUCAGUGUGAGCUGAAGACCAGCAGAGACUAGGAUGGAUGACGGCCUGUCCAGGGGCUGAAUGGACACAGGUGUCAGCAGGGCCACCUGGUAAAGGUGAGCCAGCCAUGAGAGGGUAUCUUGUGGCCAUAUUCCUGAGUGCUGUCUUCCUCUAUUAUGUACUGCAUUGCAUAUUAUGGGGAACGAAUGUCUAUUGGGUGGCACCUGUGGAAAUGAAACGGAGAAAUAAGAUCCAGCCUUGUUUAUCAAAGCCAGCUUUUGCCUCUCUGCUGAGUCAGAGCUCUGCAUAUAUUUUAAGAAAAGGCAUUGAGGAACUCAAUCAAACCAGUAUUCUUUUCACACAGGUUUCAUCAGUUUCACCCUUUUCUGUGUGCGGCUGAUUUUAGAAAGAUUGCUUCCUUGUAUGGUAGCGAUAAGUUUGAUUUGCCCUAUGGGAUGAGAACAUCAGCGGAAUAUUUUCGACUUGCUCUUUCAAAACUGCAGAGUUGUGAUCUCUUUGAUGAGUUUGACAAAAACAGAGAGCCCAGGACCAUGAGGCUUCCGCCUGCUGGACAGCAAGGACUUCCAGUAGCUUCUCAGCUGUUUUCCCAGUCACUUUCAGAAGCAAGGCUGCUAUAGCUAAUUGAUGUAUGCAAGAUGUAAUUACAGCCAUUGAUAGGGAAAAUAUCAGCAAUAUGAUGCCCUUGGAAGCUCAGAAAAAAGUCAAAAGGCUGUACCAUGACUCUCACAAUAGCCAGAUCUGAAUAUAAAAUCUAGUCUCUUCUGGUGAUGGAGAAAAGGAAGUGUCAUCCAUACAAGAUGAAUUU
rnacentral:lncRNA from 1 species